CAGCAGCCGCGGUAAAACGUAGGCAGCAAGCGUUGUUCGGAGUUACUGGGCGUAAAGGGUGUGUAGGCGGUUGCCUAAGUUUGGUGUGAAAUCUCCCGGCUUAACUGGGAGGGUGCGCCGAAAACUGGGUCACUAGAGUACGGGAUGGGAAAGUGGAAUUCCUGGUGUAGCGGUGAAAUGCGUAGAUAUCAGGAGGAACACCGGUGGUGUAGACGGCUUUCUGGACCGUAACUGACGCUGAAACACGAAAGCGUGGGUAGCAAACAGGAUUAGAUACCCCCGUAGUCCCUGUCUCUUAUAC
rnacentral:rRNA from 1 species